GGUGGCUCAGUGGUAGAGUGCUUGCCUUGCAUGCAGGAGGCCCUGGGUUUGAUUCCUCAGUACCA
rnacentral:tRNA from 1 species